CCCUUAGAUGUUCUGGGCCGCACGCGUGCUACACUGAGUGGAUCAGCGGGUCAGGUUGCGCGAAAGCGUUUCCUAAUCUUUAAAUCCGCUCGUGAUGGGGAUUGACGGUUGCAAUUUUCUGUCAUGAACGAGGAAUACCUUGUAAGCGCGGGUCAUCAUCCCGCGCUGAAUACGUCCCUGCCCUUUGUACACACCGCCCGUCGCUCCUACCGAUUGAAUGUUCCGGUGAAUACUUCGGACUGCGAGGUUUGCAGUUUCUGCGCUCCUUGCGGAAAGUUGAAUAAACCUUAACAUUUAGAGGAAGGAGAAGUCGUAACA
rnacentral:rRNA from 1 species